AACGAACGCUGGCGGCAUGCCUAACACAUGCAAGUCGAACGAGACCUUCGGGUCUAGUGGCGCACGGGUGCGUAACGCGUUGGAACCUUCCCUUAGGUUCGGAAUAACUCCCCGAAAGGGGUGCUAAUACCGGUUAAUGUCUUCGGACCAAAGAUUUAUCGCCUUUGGAUGGGCCCGCGUUUGAUUAGAUAUUUGGUAGGGUAAAAGCCUACCAAGGCGACGAUCCAUAGCUGGUCUGAGAGGAUGAUCAGCCACACUGGGACUGAGACACGGCCCAGACUCCUACGGGAGGCAGCAGUGGGGAAUAUUGGACAAUGGGCGAAAGCCUGAUAGAGCAAUGCCGCGUGAGUGAUGAAGGCAUUAGGGUUGUAAAGCUCUUUUACCCGGGAUGAUAAUGACAGUACCGGGAGAAUAAGCACCGGCUAACUCCGUG
rnacentral:rRNA from 1 species